GACAGGCCCCACCCACUCUGGAUUUCCAGGGUCACCCGGCAGUCCCCUCUGGCAGCCACCGGAGCAGCCAGGAACAGCCUCAGGCGUCGGCUGCGAGGGGAUUGCUGGGCUGGUCCCCCAGGUCUCUACGCGAAGGGGGUGCUGGGCUCUACCCCCAGGCCUCUACUACCCUCUGGCACACAUCCUUCUAGUGCCCCAGGGGCUUCGGAGGGCAGGGGUCAGCUCUAGGCCCUUCUGUACUCCCAGAGCCAGGCAUACAGGAGUCUCUGGGUCACAUGAAGCUGAAGGUUCUCCCCCAAGUCUGCCCUGGUCUCUGGCAGGAGAUGCUACAAGGGUAAAGGACCCGCUGGCAGGAGAGACGGCCUUUCCAAGGGGAGGCGGCACGGCAGGUCGGGUGGAGGCUGCACGCUGACCUGAGGCUGAUGGAAGGGGGAGAUGCAGGCUUUGAGCUGAGCUCCAGGCAAUGGGCAAGGGAGGGCCCCUCCACACUCAGCUGAGGAGCAAGGGCUAUGGGGGCACUCAGAGCUUCCUGUCCAGCCAGGAGCCCCCUGGGGACCCAAGCUGGAGAGGGACUCAGGCAUCUGGAAGGGCCGGCAAGUUGGCAACGGGAGGCCCUGAAGGUUCCCACACAGGACCCCAGGGUGAAGAAGUCACUAACACUGUUUCCAGAAGUGGGGUCACCCCGCUGGACCAGAAGGGCCCCAUCACCUUCUGCCAUCAGCCCAGGACGCAACGCCCUCACCAUCACUGCUGGUGGAGAGACCCUUCCUGCAGACACCAGGCCUGGAUGGUCGGGGACCAUGCACCCUGCAGGGACAGAGUCACAGACCCGGGGGAGCUUGUGGGAGGCCCAGGAGCCAGGUCUGGAUUCAAAGUCAGGUGCGGCUGAUGACAAAGACCGUUCCCGCCCGCAUCCUGGGUGUGCCCUAGGAAAGCUGCCUCUUCCAGAAACGCAGAAGCAGCAACAGAAAACACGGGGUGGGGUGGCGGGGCACACAGCAUGGAAGCCUGUCCUGCCAGGCCGUCUGACUUCGCUCUCCUGACUUCUGACAGUUUCUCUGCUUACUCUGAAGUUACCAGAUCCAGGUCUUCACUCCCCUCCGUGGCCGAGUUCCUGGGACGUUUCAUUCUUUGGCGGUGCUGGUGGGAGGCCAGCGCCAUGCUUAGCGGCUGCCCCAAACCAAGGGGUUGGACAGGCUCAAGCCUCUGUUGGUCAAGCACCUGCUGAACAGCCCCUCGACCAGACCACCCCGUCCAGCACUCAAGGCCGGCAGCAACACCUCCCUCUGGGCCAGCUCCGGACAGGGCCUUGGUAACAGUGGAGGUGAGGACCUUGCUGGGCCAGCCCCUCUGUACACCCACCCACAGGAAGGACGGUGGGCUGUCCUCAGGCGCCCCCAGGCCAUGGCUGGAGGAAGGCUUUCAGGCACCUCUCUGCCCACCGAGGCAGCCCCCAUCCUGGACUGCUGUCAUCCCCUUGCUGGUCCUGCCCACACCCCUUCUUGGUCCAGUACAAGGGUCCCUCCCUGGAGGCUGCCUGCUCUGUUGAGCAGCCCUGCCCCUGCCCCCUGUGUGCGAGCCCAGCGCCGGCCCCUCACAGUGAGUCACACACAUCGCACCUGCACCUUGUAGGUGGCCUGUCCCACCUGCCCAAACCUUCAUCAGGACCAUGGUUUCCUGGGGUCCAAGCCCAUCUGCCUGUCACUCACAUAUGGCCACGAGGCUGGGCACUGCAGGCCCCAGAGUCAAGCCCCAUGCCUGGCACCUAUGGCAGCCCAGGUGUCUGGGCUUGGUGGACAGAGCCUCCCACCGCCCAGAGUACCUGCCCUGUCCACGGACCAGGCCACGCCCCAGCUACAGGUCCGUCCCCUCGUCAUAGCUGGAGUCACAGCUGGGGCAGGGGAUGUCUGCCUCCCCACUGGACUGUAGGUCCCUGAAAACAGGCCAUGCCUGCUCGGCCACCAUGGUGUGGCCAGCCCCCGAUUGUGCCUGGCACCCGGGAAAGGCCAGCAGACAUUUUGGAAGAACGCACUUUGCUGACGGA